rnacentral:rRNA from 1 species
CCUACGGGAGGCAGCAGUGGGGAAUCUUGCGCAAUGGGCGAAAGCCUGACGCAGCAACGCCGCGUGCGGGAAGAAGGCUCUCGGGUUGUAAACCGCUUUCAGCAGGAACGAAAAUGACGGUACUUGCAGAAGAAGGUGCGGCCAACUACGUGCCAGCAGCCGCGGUGACACGUAGGCACCAAGCGUUGUCCGGAUUUAUUGGGCGUAAAGAGCUCGUAGGCGGUUCGGUAAGUCAGGUGUGAAAACUUUGGGCUCAACCCAAAGCCUGCAUCUGAUACUGCUGUGACUAGAGUUCGGUAGGGGAGCGGGGAAUUCCUAGUGUAGCGGUGAAAUGCGCAGAUAUUAGGAGGAACACCGGUGGCGAAGGCGCCGCUCUGGGCCGAAACUGACGCUGAGGAGCGAAAGCGUGGGUAGCAAACAGGAUUAGAUACCCUGGUAGUCCACGCCGUAAACGUUGGGCACUAGGUGUGGGUCUCAACCACGAGAUCCGCGCCGUCGCUAACGCAUUAAGUGCCCCGCCUGGGGAGACGGCGCGAGUAACGUACAAGAAUAGACGCGNGAGACGNGCGACGCGACGACGAGGAGAGG